rnacentral:misc_RNA from 1 species
GAUGAAGAACGCAGCGAAAUGCGAUACUUGGUGUGAAUUGCAGAAUCCCGUGAACCAUCGAGUCUUUGAACGCAAGUUGCGCCCGAAGCCAUUAGGCCGAGGGCACGCCUGCCUGGGUGUCACACGUCGUUGCCCCCCCAUCUACUCCUUCGGGAUUGCGGGGGCGGAUGAUGGCCUCCCGUGCGCCUCGUCGCGCGGUUGGCAUAAAUGCCAAGUCCUCGGCGACGCACGCCACGACAAUCGGUGGUUGCGAAACCUCGGUUGCCCGUCGUGUGCGGUCGUCGCGCAUCGAGGGCUCGAAAAAAUUGCCGGGCUCCGGCUCGGCUUUCAACGCGACCCCAGGUCAGGCGGGGUUACCCGCUGAAUUUAAGCAUAUCAAUAAGCGGAGGA